rnacentral:rRNA from 1 species
UACGUAGGGACCGAGCGUUGUCCGGAAUCAUUGGGCGUAAAGAGCGUGUAGGCGGCUUGCUAAGUCUUGCGUGAAAUCUCGGGGCUCAACCCCGAGCGGUCGUGGGAAACUGGCAGGCUAGAGUGCGGGAGAGGUGAGUGGAAUUCCUGGUGUAGCGGUGAAAUGCGUAGAUAUCAGGAGGAACACCGGUGGUGUAGACGGCUCACUGGACCGUAACUGACGCUGAGACACGAAAGCGUGGGUAGCAAACAGG